CCCCCCAACGCAGGAGCCGCACGCGCGGUGGUCGGGGUCCGGGUCCGCGAGCGGGGGGGGGAAUCAGCCCCUGCCCCUCAGUGAGCAGGGGCUGCUGGGACUUGUAGUUCGGGGCAGGGCCAGCCGCGGGCCAUGGAAGGGUCGCUGGCCAGCGGCUCCAGGCUGGGGGAGAUCGGCUUCUGGGCUGAGAGGACGCCUGUUCACGAAGCGGCCAGGAGGGGAGAGAUCCUGCAGCUGCAGGAGCUGAUAGCGAAUGGUGCCUGCGUAAACCUGGUCACCUACGACUCUAUCACCCCCUUGCAUGAGGCGAGCCUGCGAGGGCAGACACAGUGUGUGAAGCUCUUACUUGCAGCAGGGGCCCAGGUGGAUGCCAGGAACAUAGAUGGCAGCACUCCGCUCUGUGACGCUUGUGCUUCGGGCAGUAUUGAAUGUGUGAGAGUGCUCCUGUCCCAUGGAGCGAAGGUGAAUCCUCCGCUCUACACCGCGUCCCCUCUCCAUGAAGCCUGCAUGAAUGGGAGUUCGGAGUGCGUGCAGCUCCUGAUAGAUGUCGGUGCGAACCUGGAGGCCCACGAUUGCCACUUCGGAACCCCUCUGCACGUAGCCUGUGCCCGAGAGCAUCUGGAUUGUGUGAAGUUACUGCUCAAUGCCGGGGCAAAUGUGAAUGCAGCUAAACUUCACGAGACAGCCCUUCACCACGCAGCCAAAGUGAAAAAUGCGGAUCUGGUAGAGAUGCUGGUUGAGUUUGGAGGAAACAUUUAUGCCCAGGACAACCGAGGGAAGAAACCAUCCGACUACACGUGUAGGAGCAGCCAGACUGCUCAGUGCUUGGAGUACUAUGAAAAAACACCCCUGAGCUUGUCGCAGCUCUGCAGAGUUAGCCUGCGGAAAGCCACCGGCCAGCAAGGGCUGGCGAAGAUUGCCAAGUUAAAUAUUCCUCUUCCAUUAAUGAAAUACCUCUCAUACAACUGACCGAAAGAAGGUGACAUUGCAGGACAAUCUCGUUAGACCCCACGAGAUGAACUCAGGACGGCCCCAAAACCAGGGGAAGUGAGAUGGACUCAGAACUCCAUCGUCCGUCACAGUCCGGUCCCUUUGCUAACUAUCCGCUAGCGAGAGCGCCUGAGCAACGACGGCACCAGGCGUAAAGAACAAGAUAGAGACUGCCCGGCAGAUGUCUGAGCUGGUCACCCUGACCUUGGGAGCUCUCGCUCAUUGCCUGAUACCUAGCCUGGCUGGCUGCAUGUGAUGGCAGCCAGCAAUAAUAAUACCUAGCUUUUUAUAGAGGGCUUUUCAGCAGUAGAUCUCAAAGUGCUUUAGCAUUAUCCCCAUUUUACAGAUGGGGGAACUGAGGCACAGAGGGGUGAAGGGACUUGCCCGAAAUCACCCUGCAGCCUAGUGGCAGGGCCGGGAACACAACCUAAAUCUUCUGCGUAUUCUACUGCCAUUUCAACAAUGGCUGAAGUGACUCCUGAUUUGUAAAGAGCUUUGGGGCGAAAGAUGCAAGCAAAAUGUCCACUAUGAAUCUUUUCCAAGUCUCCUUGGCUGGGUCUGUUUAGGUUACACCCGUAUCUUUAAAAACAACAAGGAGUCCAGUGGCACCUUAAAGACCAAUGGGGGAGGGCUAGUUCAGUGGUUUGAGCAUUGCCCUGUUAAACCCAGGGUUGGGAGUUCAAUCCUUGAGGGGGCCACUUGGGGAUCUGGGGCAAAGUCAGUACUUGGUCCUGCUAGUGAAGGCAGGGAGCUGGACUCAAUGACCUUUCAGGGUCUCUUCCAGUUCUAGGAGAUGGGAUAUCUCCAUUAAUUAUUAUUUAUUUGGGCAUAAGUUUUUGUGGGUAAAACACCUCCCUUCCUCAGAUCUGAAGAAGUGGGUUUUUUACCCACGAAAGCUUGUGCCCAAAUAAAUCUGUUAGUCUUUAAGGUGCCACCGGACUCCUUGUUGUUUUUGUGGACACAGACUAACACGGCCACCCCCUGAUGCUUGACCCGGAGCUUUGUUUUCAUGCAGGGUUUGAUCAUUUAACUUCCUUUGCUUUUGUUGGUGAUUAGGCAUGUGCAAUCAAAGCACGCGUCCAGUGCAAAUAAAAUCAACCCCUCAAACCA